rnacentral:rRNA from 1 species
UACGGGGGGGGCAAGCGUUGUUCGGAAUUACUGGGCGUAAAGGGCUCGUAGGUGGCCAACUAAGUCAGACGUGAAAUCCCUCGGCUUAACCGGGGAACUGCGUCUGAUACUGGAUGGCUUGAGUUCGGGAGAGGGAUGCGGAAUUCCAGGUGUAGCGGUGAAAUGCGUAGAUAUCUGGAGGAACACCGGUGGCGAAGGCGGCAUCCUGGACCGGUAUUGACGCUGAGGAGCGAAAGCCAGGGGAGCAAACGGG